rnacentral:lncRNA from 1 species
UGUUCUGCUGGCACUAGGAGGGCCCUUCCAAAUAGGUUUUGGUUUAUGAGCUCUUCAUAGCCUGGUGAUCUGAGAAGUCAGAAGUAUUCCUACAACUCCUGUCAAAGGCAAUCGAGGAAUCCAUAAAUGAUCUGUCCUCCGGCAGCCACUGCAUCAAAUCUGUCUACUUCCAGUGGACUUUGGAAUGGGGACACAAUAUGGGCUCCAGACUUGGAGUUCUUUCCCAGAGGCCACUGAUGGAAGACUGCAGACAGUUGACCCCAGAGAAUGUGAAAACAACCUGGAAAAGGAUCAAGGCUUUAAAACUCAGUUUUUCGUUUUAAUUGAGGGAAAACAUCUUUCAUAACCAUUCAGAGUAUCACCAAAACAGAGACUGUCUUCUGCCCCUGAAUGAGCAUGAGAAAAGCCUUUCCUAGACAACCAUUGCACCUGUCUCCUAACAUCCAUUAAAAGGUCACACUCAAUGGUUAUAUCAGGCUGCAAUAUAAGGCUGAGUACUUAUCUAUGCCAAGCUGAGGCCAGCUAUAACCAACCUGACUCAGCAGCAGGAGAGUGACUGUAUGCUCUUCUAGGACUUGGAGAACAUUAUUACACUUCCUAUCCAUGGAAAUAUCUAACAGAUGCCAUGUCUUCUCUGAGAAGGCUUUCUACAGGCUGAGACUUCUCGGGGCUGCUGGAUGGAGGCGCGGCGCAUCUACCAGCGUCGUCUCCCCUCCUCCCUCUACUUCCUCCCAGGCACGCCAGCUGCGGGGCUUUCAAACCGCGCCCUCUUCCUGCUUGAGGAGCUCAAGGAAUCAUUUGACAGAACCUGGAGUCAUCUUUGGUUGUCAUGAUGGGAGGAUGCAGGAGGAUGGAAGGAGUUAUGUGAUCUGUACCUGGCGUGAAGAUAACAAGGAUAUUGAUACACAGCACAGCACAGCCCACUCACUGAACAUAUCCCUACCCUCCCCAAGCCAGCAGUAACAAGGUUGAAAAACCCUGAGGUGUAAGUUGUGAAUUAAAAACUGAGCAAGUUGUGACAAAGUACUGGGACAAUGGAAGGAUGAGGUGGUGCCAGAGUCUUUUGGGAAAUCAGGGAAACCUCACAUGGCCCAUCUCCAUACAAGAUUAAACU